rnacentral:rRNA from 1 species
UGGCGGCACCUCUAACACAUGCGUCGAACGCAGUAGCAAUACUGAGUGGCGAACGGGUGAGUAUAAUGUGGGUAUCUGCCUUUUGGUUUGGAAUAACACGAGGAAACUUGUGCUAAUACCGGAUAAGCCUUUACGGGGAAAGUUUUAUACGCCAAAAGAUGAGCCCGCACUUGAUUAGCUAGUUGGUAAGGUAAAAGCUUACCAAGGCUACGAUCAAUAGCUGAUCUGAGAGGAUGAUCAGCCACAUUGGGACUGAGACACGGCCCA